GAGGAGUGAGGUCAGUAUGAUAUGGAGUGCUGGGAAGGGAAAAGCGUGGUCCCUUUAAAUGAUGCGGAAUGGAGGAAGGGAAGUGCUGGGUAGAGAAAGGCGGGUCCCUGGCUAAGGCUCCUCCCCGACGAACCCCAUUCCUGCUUUCCCGCUCAAAUGUUGCAUUUUCUAAGACCUCCCUGGCCCGCCAUACGCCGAUCCUGAACCUACGAAAACCCAAGACUGCGGGCACGGUGGCUCAUGCCUGUAAUCCCAGCACUUUGGGAGGCCGAGGCGGGCAGAUCACGAGGUCAAGAAGUCGAGACCAGCCUUGCUAACAUGGCGAAACCCUGACUCUACUGAAAAUACAAAAAUUAGCUGGGCGUGAUGGCGUGCGCGCCUGUAGUCCCAGCUGCUCGGGAGGCUGAGGUAGGAGAAUCGCUUCAAUCCGGGAGGUGGAGGUUGCGGUAAGCAGAGAUUGCGCCACUGCACUCUAGCCUGGCGACAGAGACUCCUUCAAAAACAACAACAACAACAACAACAACAACAAAACAAAACCUCCCAAGACCCUAGUGGGCAGACACACAGCCAGCCAGACAUGGAGAGGAGCACAUUAGCAGAAGAAGACGCAAGUGGCUGGUCCUCGAGAGGACGUUGAGAGGAGCAUGCCAGCAGAAGAGCACACAACGACAGGCACCGACACACCACCGGCAGGCCAUGCACCAGCAGAAUGAUGCGGAGUUUGACGGGGCAGUCAGAGAAGAGCCUGGGCCGCCAAGGGGCCCGACUCCAGGGGAAAACCAUCUCCCUUCUGGCUCCCCCAUCUGCUGAGAGCUACUUCUACUCAAUAAAACCUUGCACUCAUUCUCCAAGCCCACGUGUAAUCCGAUUCUUCAGCACAAAUGUGGAGGAAAAAUGAAGGCAAAGCAAAAUAACAGGCAAGUCUGAAAACAAAAGUGUUGCCAGUCACGCUAAGCCUCAGGCACGCAUUCUGAAUGAAGCUAAAGUUUAAAGUCCCCUCUGAUAGAUUUGUGACUUAAAUGUCCACACUAGCAAGUGUGUUUCUCACAUGGAGAAGUAGCACGAUUUUAUGUCAGGAAAGGGAUGAGAACAUGCUUCUUGAACACAUACAAUGCUGAAGACAUUUCCUGGAAAACCAUUGGCCUUUGCUUAGGACAGUUGCAUCACACAGAGAUGUUUGUGGUUCAGAUUUAUAAGAAACAUGGGAACUGAAGCCAAAGCACUACUUUUGCUCAGUAUAACCAGGUGCCAGAUCUAAAGUGUUAGGCAGGUUCCUAUAUGUAUGUUAGAAAAAAGUUGCCCAAGUUUUGGACAAUUCCUUUUCCAUCUCUCUUACAAGUCAACAAAUCGAAGCAAUAAACUAUUCUCUGAAGAAAACAAAUUUAUUUGGUUGAUUCAAACUUUUAAUGAGACUAUUACUCCCCUGUGUGCCUUUCCUUUCUCUGGUUCUAGAAAUACAUCUAGAAAGGGGGAAAAUGUUAAUAUAUUUUCUACUGACUUUAUAUCACAAAUGCUUAGCUUAGAGGGUGGACUCUGAGGAACAGUGUCCUUUCCAAAUAUUAUAAAACUUUGUGUUCAUUCUGGAAAAACAAACAAAAUUAAUCACAAUGAUUUCCUGCUUUGGAGCAAUGAGAAAUGGGAGGGAAACUUCACCUUUUCAUAGCUUUUGAUGUUUGCACCAUGUGAAUUACCCACCCCCAAAUUUAAAAUACGAAUUUUUGAAAAAGUGUUUACCUCUGAGAAGAGAAACUAGUAGUGAAGAAUGAGGAGCUGUAGAUUUUUAACGAUUCUGAUGUAUUUGCAUUUUUCCCAAUGUUCAUGAAUAAAUAAAUGUGCAUUCAUAAUUAAAAAGAAUAAACAACCUGGAAAAAACAAAAAAAGCUCUGCGUUCACUGAUCUCUAAAUAAGAAAAGAUAAGACUUGUAGUGUGGCCUUGUACUUGUACAUCUUUUCCAUGUGCCAAAGAGCUACCCCAUGGUCAAGCCAAGUGGUGAUUAUGUAGCUUUCUCUGAACAGACAUAAUAGGGCUACACAUUCACUGUGAAAAAGCUGCAGACAGAUGACACCAGUCAACAGAACACCCUACACAGAAACUGUAAAACCAUUUUAAC
rnacentral:lncRNA from 10 species